UGGGGAUAUUGCACAAUGGGGGGAAACCCUGAUGCAGCGACGCCGCGUGGAGGAAGAAGGUUUUCGGAUUGUAAACUCCUGUCGUUAGGGACGAUAAUGACGGUACCUAACAAGAAAGCACCGGCUAACUACGUGCCAGCAGCCGCGGUAAAACGUAGGGUGCAAGCGUUGUCCGGAAUUACUGGGUGUAAAGGGAGCGCAGGCGGACCGGCAAGUUGGAAGUGAAAACUAUGGGCUCAACCCAUAAAUUGCUUUCAAAACUGCUGGCCUUGAGUAGUGCAGAGGUAGGUGGAAUUCCCGGUGUAGCGGUGGAAUGCGUAGGAU
rnacentral:rRNA from 1 species